ACACCUAACGGGAGGCAGCAGUGGGGAAUAUUGCACAAUGGGCGAAAGCCUGAUGCAGCGACGCCGCGUGGGGGAUGACGGUCUUCGGAUUGUAAACCCCUUUCAGUAGGGACGAAGCGCAAGUGACGGUACCUGCAGAAGAAGCACCGGCUAACUACGUGCCAGCAGCCGCGGUAAUACGUAGGGUGCGAGCGUUGUCCGGAAUUACUGGGCGUAAAGAGCUCGUAGGCGGUUUGUCACGUCGUCUGUGAAAUCCCUCGGCUUAACCGGGGGCGUGCAGGCGAUACGGGCAGACUUGAGUACUACAGGGGAGACUGGAAUUCCUGGUGUAGCGGUGAAAUGCGCAGAUAUCAGGAGGAACACCGGUGGCGAAGGCGGGUCUCUGGGUAGUAACUGACGCUGAGGAGCGAAAGCAUGGGUAGCGAACAGGAUUAGAUACCCUGGUAGUCCAUGCCGUAAACGGUGGGCGCUAGGUGUGGGGUCCUUCCACGGACUCCGUGCCGUAGCUAACGCAUUAAGCGCCCCGCCUGGGGAGUACGGCCGCAAGGCUAAAACUCAAAGGAAUUGACGGGGGCCCGCACAAGCGGCGGAGCAUGUGGAUUAAUUCGAUGCAACGCGAAGAACCUUACCUAGGCUUGACAUAUACAGGACGACGGCAGAGAUGUC
rnacentral:rRNA from 1 species